rnacentral:rRNA from 1 species
UACGAAGGUCCCAAGCGUUGUUCGGAAUUACUGGGCGUAAAGCGCACGUAGGCGGCUUUGCAAGUUAGAGGUGAAAGCCCGGGGCUCAACCCCGGAAUUGCCUUUAAAACUGCAUCGCUAGAAUUGUGGAGAGGUAAGUGGAAUUCCGAGUGUAGAGGUGAAAUUCGUAGAUAUUCGGAAGAACACCAGUGGCGAAGGCGACUUACUGGACACAUAUUGACGCUGAGGUGCGAAAGCGUGGGGAGCAAACAGG